AUUGAACGCUGGCGGCAGGCCUAACACAUGCAAGUCGAACGGCAGCGGGGGGAAGCUUGCUUCCCCGCCGGCGAGUGGCGGACGGGUGAGUAAUGCCUGGGGAGCUGCCCAAUCGAGGGGGGAUACCAGUUGGAAACGACUGCUAAUACCGCAUACGCCCUGAGGGGGAAAGGUGGGGAUCUUCGGACCUAUCGCGAUUGGAUGCACCCAGGUGGGAUUAGCUAGUUGGUGAGGUAACGGCUCACCAAGGCGACGAUCUCUAGCUGGUCUGAGAGGAUGACCAGCCACACUGGAACUGAGACACGGUCCAGACUCCUACGGGAGGCAGCAGUGGGGAAUAUUGCACAAUGGGGGAAACCCUGAUGCAGCCAUGCCGCGUGUGUGAAGAAGGCCUU
rnacentral:rRNA from 1 species